rnacentral:sRNA from 1 species
UAAUGAUAACUUGUUGUUUAUGAUGUCC